AUUGAACGCUGGCGGCAGGCCUAACACAUGCAAGUCGAACGAGUGGCGGACGGGUGAGUAAUGUCUGGGAAACUGCCCGAUGGAGGGGGAUAACUACUGGAAACGGUAGCUAAUAACGCAUACCAUCGGAUGUGCCCAGAGGGGAUUCGCUUGUAGGUGAGGUAACGGCUCACCGAGGCGACGAUCCCUAGCUGGUCUGAGAGGAUGACCAGCCAACAUGGAAAUGAGACAGGGUCCAGACUCCUACGGUAGGCAGCAGUGGGGAAUAUGGCACAAUGGUCGCAAGCCUGAUGCAGCCAUGCCGCGGGUAUGAAGAAGGCCUUCGGGUUGUAAAUUACUUUCAGCGGGGAGGCGUUACCCGCAGAAGAAGCACCGGCUAACUCCGUGCCAGCAGCCGCGGUAAUAC
rnacentral:rRNA from 1 species